rnacentral:rRNA from 1 species
UACGGAGGGGGCAAGCGUUGUUCGGAAUCACUGGGCGUAAAGCGCGUGUAGGCGGCUUUGCAAGUCGGGUGUGAAAUCCCGAGGCUCAACCUCGGAACUGCACUCGAUACUGCUUGGCUCGAGUCCCGGAGAGGGUGGCGGAAUUCCCGGUGUAGGGGUGAAAUCCGUAGAUAUCGGGAGGAACAUCAGUGGCGAAGGCGGCCACCUGGACGUUGACUGACGCUGAGACGCGAAAGCGUGGGGAGCAAACAGG